AUAUAUAUAGAUUCUACCACUGGAUCGAGUGUGAUACGAUAUUUAUCCACUCGAGACAGUUCAAUUUUCAAGUUUAAAAUGUGAGGCUCGCCGAGCGUUUUAAAUAUUUAAAAUUUAACUGUCGAGAGUGGAUAAAUAAUUUAUUACACGAGAUUUAGUGGGGGAAUCUGUUUCUGU
rnacentral:sRNA from 1 species